AACGCGAAGGGGUUUAUAUUGAUUGCGGUCUAUACAUGCAGUCGAGCGAAUGGAUUAAGAGCUUGCUCUUAUGAAGUUAGCGGCGGACGGGUGAGUAACACGUGGGUAACCUGCCCAUAAGACUGGGAUAACUCCGGGAAACCGGGGCUAAUACCGGAUAACAUUUUGAACUGCAUGGUUCGAAAUUGAAAGGCGGCUUCGGCUGUCACUUAUGGAUGGACCCGCGUCGCAUUAGCUAGUUGGUGAGGUAACGGCUCACCAAGGCAACGAUGCGUAGCCGACCUGAGAGGGUGAUCGGCCACACUGGGACUGAGACACGGCCCAGACUCCUACGGGAGGCAGCAGUAGGGAAUCUUCCGCAAUGGACGAAAGUCUGACGGAGCAACGCCGCGUGAGUGAUGAAGGCUUUCGGGUCGUAAAACUCUGUUGUUAGGGAAGAACAAGUGCUAGUUGAAUAAGCUGGCACCUUGACGGUACCUAACCAGAAAGCCACGGCUAACUACGUGCCAGCAGCCGCGGUAAUACGUAGGUGGCAAGCGUUAUCCGGAAUUAUUGGGCGUAAAGCGCGCGCAGGUGGUUUCUUAAGUCUGAUGUGAAAGCCCACGGCUCAACCGUGGAGGGUCAUUGGAAACUGGGAGACUUGAGUGCAGAAGAGGAAAGUGGAAUUCCAUGUGUAGCGGUGAAAUGCGUAGAGAUAUGGAGGAACACCAGUGGCGAAAGCGACUUUCUGGUCUGUAACUGACACUGAGCGCGAAAGCGGUGGGGGAGCAAACAGGAUUAGAUACCCUGGUAGUCCACGCCGUAACGAUGGAGUGCUAAGUGUUAGAAGGGUUUCCGCCCUUUAGUGCUGAGUUACGCAUAAGCACUUCCGCCUGGGGGGAGUACGCCGCAGCUGAAACUCAAGGAAUGACGGGGCCCGCACAAGCGGUGGGAGCAUGGUGGUUUAGUCGAGCACGCGAGAACGUACAGGUCUGACAUCUCUGACACCUAAAGAUAGGGCUUCUAUCGGAGCAAGCUGACCGGUGGUGCAUGGAUGCUCAGCUCAGUCCUGGAAUUAGUAGUCCUCGACAGAGCCUACAUUGAACUAAUCGCACUCCCAU
rnacentral:rRNA from 1 species